GGUUGCACAGAGUGAAGAGUGAAUAGGAAUCUUGAAAAUGAUGUCUUUAUUGGGACUGGGAUUAUUGAUAUGUAUAGUAAAAUGGGUGAUUUGGAGAGUGCUAGGAAGGUAUUUGAUAAAAUGCCUGAUAAGGAUGUUGUAGUUUGGAAUGCAAUGCUUUCUGGGGUUGCACAGAGUGAAGAGCCGGUUAAGGCUGUUGAUCUUUUCAAGAAGAUGCAAUUUAUAUGUCAGAUUAAUCCUAGUUCAGUGACGUUAUUGAAUUUGCUUCCUGCAGUUUGUAAAUUAAUGGAUAUGAGGGUGUGUAGGUGUAUACAUGGUUAUGUGUAUAGGAGAGUGUUUCCAGUUUCGGUUUAUUAUGCGUUGAUCGAUACGUACUCCAAAUGUAAUUAUUCUAAUGUUGCUCGUCAAGUUUUUAACACGUUGAGGGGGAAAGAUGAUGUUUCAUGGGGUACAAUGAUGGC
rnacentral:misc_RNA from 1 species